AUUCACAGCGGAACAGUGUUCUGUGGUCGGGGGAGGACUAUAAAUGUCCAAGUGCCCAAAUAUCGCUCUCUUACAAGAAAUGGGAAGAGGAGUAGUGACGUGUUGGGUUUUCGUCUAUGAUUUUGCAACCAUGUUUGUCGACCAGACAUGGGAGGACUGCAAGCGGGGGGAAAUCCCUUUCGAUGAAGGCCUGCUGAUAAAGUGAAUGACGGCGUCUAAAGGACACAUCCUCUAAUUGGCCAAAUAAGAAUUUGCUGUUAUGUUGAAGGUGUAAUGGAGGCUGUGAGGCCGCUACCAUUUGGUUGAAAUUGAAAGAUCAAAGGAAUCAUGCUUAUUACAUGAUGCUGUGAUACCAUCUUUGAAGAAAUGAAGACCAUGUAUCAGGGUGUUGAGUCUCUGGUUUUUAUGCCCUAAGUUGACAGAAAAAUCCUGACUCCUCUAAUUAAAGGAAUUUACAUGGAAUGGUGAUACUUGGUCUCUUGCUGCAGUGGAUGUCAAAGCAAGGAGGUCAUGCUGAUCUUCUGGUAUGCUGCUGGACUAUCGGUGCAUGAUGCUGCUUUACCCGGUUCUGAUGUCUGGAAUUUAUUGAAAGGAAUGUUCUCUAGAUUCCAUCCUGCUGGAAAUGCUCUCUACUAAGAUGCGCUACUGCUCAUCACACCCCAGCUGGGUUCUUGUCCCUUAAUGCCAUGUAUUCCAGAAGACUCAAGGAAAAGAUUGAAUAAUAUGGAUCCUGGCAUGUCAGUGUUUGAGUUGAUUUGCUGCAUUAUUGGGCUCUGUGCCCUUGAAUUAAAUGUAAAGUGAAAUAAAUGUUUAUUCAAAGUGC